GGGGGCGUAUUGGUUUCGACGGGGUCGUGGGUCGUGCGAUGGCGAGCCGAGCCCCGGGCUCGUAAAACCGGGAAAGAAAUACGUGCGAAUAACGCACCUGUCGCCCUCGCCGCGUAAGCGGUAGAGACGCAAAAGCUCAGGCUACGGCCCGGUGGCGCCUCGGCGCCGGACGGGACGUCCACCGAGGCUGGCCGGUUCACAGCCUGGUCCCAGGGCGGCGAAUCGGCGAGAACAAAACCGGGACUACGCUCGUAGAGGUCGUGCGGUACGCGGCUUCGGACGCGGGUUCGACCCCCGCCGCCUCCACCA
rnacentral:tmRNA from 1 species